rnacentral:lncRNA from 1 species
AAUUUCCAUAUAAGCUGUACUAAAACUAAAUUAUUGUAAAAUUUUAGCGAUUUCUGUAAUAAUUUUUUUUUUUUAUUUCGAUAUUACCUUUAUUUCUCCUAUUACUUCAACAGAAAAAAAACACCUUUACAAAAAUGUAUGCUUCUUUCGAAGGCAGAUUGUGAGGGCAAAUGAACGGUGACCCCACUUUUUUAUUUUAUUUUUCUAUUAACUAUAAGAUAAAGUUCAUUUAUAGAAAAAUAUAGAGAAAUCCUAUAUAAAUGAUUUAGACCCGCGAACCCCCUUAAGUAAGAUCAAGACAAGAUCGAUAAAUUUAUUCAAUAUAAAUAUUAAUAGAUGAAAGAGCAGCCUUUCUAUCUGUAUAAGUUAACUCAGAGAAAAUAUUUAUCUUUAUAAGUUAACUCAGCGAAAAAAUUACAGGUACAUUAAAACAUGAGACUCUUAAAACAACUUAUUGAUAUUGAAAUUAGAAAGCUGUAUGAUAUUCAAAC